rnacentral:rRNA from 1 species
AUUGAACGCUGGCGGCAGGCCUAACACAUGCAAGUCGAACGGUAACAGGAAGCAGCUUGCUGCUUAGCUGACGAGUGGCGGACGGGUGAGUAAUGUCUGGGAAACUGCCUGAUGGAGGGGGAUAACUACUGGAAACGGUAGCUAAUACCGCAUAACGUCGCAAGACCAAAGAGGGGGACCUUCGGGCCUCUUGCCAUCGGCUGUGCCCAGAUGGGAUUAGCUAGUAGGUGGGGUAACGGCUUACCUAGGCGACGUUCCCUAGCUGGUCUGAGAGGAUGACCAGCCACACUGGAACUGAGACACGGUCCAGACUCCGACGGGAGGCAGCAGUGGGGAAUAUUGCACAAUGGGCGCAAGCCUGAUGCAGCCAUGCCGCGUGUAUGAAGAAGGCCUUCGGGUUGUAAAGUACUUUCAGCGGGGAGGAAGGGAGUAAAGUUACUACCUUUGCUCAUUGACGUUACCCGCAGAAGAAGCACCGGCUAACUCCGUGCCAGCCGCCGCAGUAA